ACGUAGGUGGAGAGCGUUGUCCGGAAUUAUUGGGCGUAAAGCGCGCGCAGGUGGGAUCUUAAGUCUGUUUUCAAAGUGCGGAGCUUAACUCCGUGAUGGGAUAGAAACUGGGAUUCUUGAGUACCGGAGAGGAAAGCGGAAUUCCCCGUGUAGCGUUGAAAUGCUUAUAUAUGGCAAGGAGCACCAAUGGCGAAGGCGGCUUUCUGGACUGUGUCUGACACUGAGGCGCGAAAUUCAUGGUAGCGAACGG
rnacentral:rRNA from 1 species